CCUACGGGCGGCUGCAGUGGGGAAUAUUGCGCAAUGGGCGCAAGCCUGAUGCAGCCAUGCCGCGUGUGUGAAGAAGGCCUUCGGGUUGUAAAGCACUUUCAGCGGGGAGGAAGGCGGUGAGGUUAAUAACCUCAUCGAUUGACGUUACCCGCAGAAGAAGCACCGGCUAACUCCGUGCCAGCAGCCGCGGUAAUACGGAGGGUGCAAGCGUUAAUCGGAAUUACUGGGCGUAAAGCGCACGCAGGCGGUCUGUCAAGUCGGAUGUGAGAUCCCCGGGCUCAACCUGGGAACUGCAUUCGAAACUGGCAGGCUAGAGUCUUGUAGAGGGGGGUAGAAUUCCAGGUGUAGCGGUGAAAUGCGUAGAGAUCUGGAGGAAUACCGGUGGCGAAGGCGGCCCCCUGGACAAAGACUGACGCUCAGGUGCGAAAGCGUGGGGAGCAAACAGGAUUAGAUACCCGAGUAGUC
rnacentral:rRNA from 1 species